AGGUUGAAGGUUGGGUAACACUAACUGGAGGACCGAACCGACUAAUGUUGAAAAAUUAGCGGAUGACUUGUGGCUGGGGGUGAAAGGCCAAUCAAACCGGGAGAUAGCUGGUUCUCCCCGAAAGCUAUUUAGGUAGCGCCUCGUGAAUUCAUCUCCGGGGGUAGAGCACUGUUUCGGCAAGGGGGUCAUCCCGACUUACCAACCCGAUGCAAACUGCGAAUACCGGAGAAUGUUAUCACGGGAGACACACGGCGGGUGCUAACGUCCGUCGUGAAGAGGGAAACAACCCAGACCGCCAGCUAAGGUCCCAAAGUCAUGGUUAAGUGGGAAACGAUGUGGGAAGGCCCAGACAGCCAGGAUGUUGGCUUAGAAGCAGCCAUCAUUUAAAGAAAGCGUAAUAGCUCACUGGUCGAGUCGGCCUGCGCGGAAGAUGUAACGGGGCUAAAC
rnacentral:rRNA from 1 species